GAGUCUCUUAUUAUAUGCCAGU
rnacentral:piRNA from 1 species